rnacentral:rRNA from 1 species
GGGGACUGAGACACGGCCCUUACUCCUACGGGAGGCAGCAGUGGGGAAUAUUGGACAAUGGACCAAAGUCUGAUCCAGCGAUUCUGUGUGCACGAUGACGGUCUUAGGAUUGUAAAGUGCUUUCAAUCGGGAAAAAGAAAGUGAUGGUACCGAUAGAAGAAGCGACGGCUAAAUACGUGCCAGCAGCCGCGGUAAUACGUAUGUCGCAAGCGUUAUCCGGAUUUAUUGGGCGUAAAGCGCGUCUAGGCGGUUUGGUAAGUCUGAUGUGGAAAUGCGGGGCUCAACUCCGUAUUGCGUUGGAAACUGCCAGACUAGAGUACUGGAGAGGUGGGCGGAACUACAAGUGUAGAGGUGAAAUUCGUAGAUAUUUGUAGGAAUGCCGAUAGAGAAGUCAGCUCACUGGACAGAU